rnacentral:ncRNA from 2 species
UCGCGACACUGCGGGAGCCUGAUUCCGCGGCAUCCGGCCCUGUGCCGAUGCCGGCAGGCUGAGAGGGUGCUGGGCACCGACCGUUGAACCUGAUCCGGUUCGUACCGGCGUAGGGAAGGAAUUGCGGACUUGG